rnacentral:rRNA from 1 species
AGUGAACGCUGGCGGUAGGCCUAACACAUGCAAGUCGAACGGCAGCACAGUAAGAGCUUGCUCUUACGGGUGGCGAGUGGCGGACGGGUGAGGAUUACAUCGGAAUCUACUUUUUCGUGGGGGAUAACGAAGGGAAACUUACGCUAAUACCGCAUACGACCUACGGGUGAAAGAAGGGGAACUUCGGACCUUGCGCGAUUGAAUGAGUCGAUGUCGGAUUAGCUAGUUGGCGGGGUAAAGGCCCACCAAGGCGACGAUCCGUAGCUGGUCUGAGAGGAUGAUCAGCCACACUGGAACUGAGACACGGUCCAGACUCCUACGGGAGGCAGCAGUGGGGAAUAUUGGACAAUGGGCGCAAGCCUGAUCCAGCCAUACCGCGUGGGUGAAGAAGGCCUUCGGGUUGUAAAGCCCUUUUGUUGGGAAAGAAAAGCAGCAGGUUAAUACCCCGCUGUUCUGACGGUACCCAAAGAAUAAGCACCGGCUAACUUCGUG